rnacentral:sRNA from 1 species
AAUAGAGGACGUUCGAUUAAAACCGGCACGUCCUGUGCCAACAUCGAACGACCCUACGUCGUGUAGG